rnacentral:tRNA from 1 species
GGAGGAGUGGCCGAGUGGCUUAAGGCGCACGCUUGGAAAGCGUGUGUGCGAAAGCACGCGCAGGUUCGAAUCCUGUCUCCUCCG